rnacentral:rRNA from 1 species
GUAACGCGUGGGAAUAUGCCCGGUACUAAGGAAUAGCCUUUGGAAACGAAGAGUAAUACCUUAUACGCCCUUCGGGGGAAAGAUUUAUCGGUAUCGGAUUAGCCCGCGUAAGAUUAGAUAGUUGGUGGGGUAAUGGCCUACCAAGUCUACGAUCUUUAGCUGGUUUUAGAGGAUGAUCAGCAACACUGGGACUGAGACACGGCCCAGACUCCUACGGGAGGCAGCAGUGGGGAAUCUUAGACAAUGGGCGCAAGCCUGAUCUAGCCAUGCCGCGUGAGUGAAGAAGGCCUUAGGGUCGUAAAACUCUUUCGCCAGAGAUGAUAAUGACAGUAUCUGGUAAAGAAACCCCGGCUAACUCCGUGCCAGCAGCCGCGGUAAUACGGAGGGGGUUAGCGUUGUUCGGAAUUACUGGGCGUAAAGCGCACGUAGGCGGACUGGAAAGUUGGGGGUGAAAUCCCGGGGCUCAACCUCGGAACUGCCUCCAAAACUAUCAGUCUAGAGUUCGAGAGAGGUGAGUGGAAUUCCAAGUGUAGAGGUGAAAUUCGUAGAUAUUUGGAGGAACACCAGUGGCGAAGGCGGCUCACUGGCUCGAUACUGACGCUGAGGUGCGAAAGUGUGGGGAGCAAACAGGAUUAGAUACCCUGGUAGUCCACACCGUAAACGAUGAAUGCCAGUCGUCGGCAAGUAUACUUGUCGGUGACACACCUAACGGAUUAAGCAUUCCGCCUGGGGAGUACGGUCGCAAGAUUAAAACUCAAAGGAAUUGACGGGGGCCCGCACAAGCGGUGGAGCAUGUGGUUUAAUUCGAAGC